rnacentral:tRNA from 1 species
GAUGAUGAUCCCAAGCCUUCUGGCGAUCUAGACAAAACAAGUCCACCGUGGGCUUUGAAAAACGCUUUCCUUGAUAAAAUUUAAGCGUUUUAUAAGAGGAUGCCGGGGAAGGUUUUCCGGUUUAUCCCGGAGGGCUUGUAGCUCAGUUGGUUAGAGCGCGCGCUUGAUAAGCGUGAGGUCGGAGGUUCAAGUCCUCCCAGGCCCACCAGUUUAUCCAUUACUUUCAUAAGUGCUUUUAAAAAAUAAGUACUUCUAAAAAGAUUGCUUCUAAAAAGCUUAUCAAAAUUGGCAGGCUUAUUGCUUUUGUGUGAGUAAUCCAAAGUUAAAGCAAAUUAAUGGCAAAAAAACAGUUCAAAUGCUAAAUACUAAGGAGUCAAAAUUCCUUGCAAAGUGAUUUUUACAGCGUCCAUUUGGUUGAUAUAAAUUCCAAAUGCUCAUAGACGUCAAUGCCUAUAUGAAACUAUCGGUUCAAUCAUAUCGCUUUGAGUUAUAUAGAUUUUGUAAUCCCUCUUUUGAUCGUUUUAAACGCUUUAUUCUGAUUUAGGGGCCGUAGCUCAGCUGGGAGAGCACCUGCUUUGCAAGCAGGGGGUCGUCGGUUCGAUCCCGUCCGGCUCCACCAUAAGGUCAUCAUCAUUGUUGUAAGAACAGUUUUGUAAAAGGUU